AAUAGAUACCCAGGUAGUCCUAGCCGUAAACGAUGAACACUAGGCGUAGUCGGUAUCGACCCCGGCUGUGCCGUAGCUAACGCAUUAAGUGUUCCGCCCGGGGAGUACGGCCGCAAGGCUAAAACUCAAAGGAAUUGACGGGGGCUCGCACAAGCAGCGGAGCGUGUGGUUUAAUUCGUCGCAACGCGAAGAACCUUACCAGGGCUUGACAUGUGGCGAAAAACGGCGGAAACGUCGUCCUCCCGCAAGGGACCGUCAUGCAGGUGUUGCAUGGCUGUCGUCAGCUCGUGUCGUGAGAUGUUGGGUUAAGUCCCGCAACGAGCGCAACCCCCGUGGCAUGUUGUAUCUCUCAUGCCAGACUGCCGAGAGAAACUCGGAGGAAGGUGGGGAUGACGCCAAGUCAGCAUGGCCCUUACGUCCUGGGGCUACACACACCGCUACAAUGGCCGGUACAACGGGUUGCCAAACCGCGAGGUGGAGCUAAUCCCUUAAAGCCGGUCUCAGUUCGGAUUGCAGGCUGCAACUCGCCUGCAUGAAC
rnacentral:rRNA from 1 species